UAACAAAACUAUUCGCCAGAGUACUACUCGCAACUGCCUAAAACUCAAAGGACUUGGCGGUGCUUCACAUCCACCUAGAGGAGCCUGUUCUAUAAUCGAUAAACCCCGAUAGACCUUACCAACCCUUGCCAAUUCAGCCUAUAUACCGCCAUCUUCAGCAAACCCUAAAAAGGAACAAUAGUAAGCACAAUCAUAACACAUAAAAACGUUAGGUCAAGGUGUAGCUUAUGGGUUGGAAAGAAAUGGGCUACAUUUUCUACAUAAGAAUACCCAAUACGAAAGUUUUUAUGAAACUAAAAACCAAAGGAGGAUUUAGCAGUAAAUCAAGAAUAGAGUGCUUGAUUGAAUAAGGCCAUGAAGCACGCACACACCGCCCGUCACCCU
rnacentral:rRNA from 1 species